UACAGAGGGUGCAAGCGUUAUCCGGAAUUAUUGGGCGUAAAGAGCUCGUAGGCGGUUUGUCGCGUCUGCUGUGAAAACUUCAGGCUCAACCUGGGGCUUGCAGUGGGUACGGGCAGACUAGAGUGCGGUAGGGGAGACUGGAAUUCCUGGUGUAGCGGUGAAAUGCGCAGAUAUCAGGAGGAACACCGAUGGCGAAGGCAGGUCUCUGGGCAUUAACUGACGCUGAGGAGCGAAAGCAUGGGGAGCAAACAGG
rnacentral:rRNA from 1 species